rnacentral:rRNA from 1 species
GAGUUUGAUCAUGGCUCAGAUUGAACGCUGGCGGCAUGCCUUACACAUGCAAGUCGAACGGCAGCACGGGAGCUUGCUCCUGGUGGCGAGUGGCGAACGGGUGAGUAAUGCAUCGGAACGUAUCCUGGAGUGGGGGAUAACGUAGCGAAAGUUACGCUAAUACCGCAUAUUCUGUGAGCAGGAAAGCGGGGGACCUUCGGGCCUCGCGCUCUUGGAGCGGCCGAUGUCGGAUUAGCUAGUUGGUGAGGUAAAGGCUCACCAAGGCGACGAUCCGUAGCAGGUCUGAGAGGAUGAUCUGCCACACUGGAACUGAGACACGGUCCAGACUCCUACGGGAGGCAGCAGUGGGGAAUUUUGGACAAUGGGGGCAACCCUGAUCCAGCCAUGCCGCGUGAGUGAAGAAGGCCUGGU